AUUCGGCCGGGAGGGUCUCCUGAGCGCUCGUCUCCGCUCGCGACUUCCUCCGCCCGCGAGUCGCGACGCCGCCGCCGCCACACCAUCCGGCCGCCCUCGCCCUGGCAUCCGUGCGCCGCCGCGACAGCGACGUCCCUCCACAUCGCUGUCUCUCGGUCUCUCUUGUGCUUGCGACGUCAACGCGGGGGUCACGCUCGGGCGCUCCUCCACCGCCGCUGUCUUAGUCCUCGUCCGCCAUCUUGUUCCUCUGCGCCGUCGCCAUCUCCACCUUCACCGCCAUUGUCGUCCGUCUCAAGGACCACGAGCUGCAGACCACGGUCAAGGCCCUGGUUGGAGCCUUCGAGUCCGUCAUCUCCAAGAUUGCAAACAACAACACUAAAGCUAAUUGUUGUCCAUCUAAACAAGUCACAUGGGAAGUCCUACGAUCAACUAUAGAACUAUAGAAGGAUGCUGACCAAACUUGAAUUCAGCUGAUCAGAUAGCAGAAUAGAAGAGAUGCAAGUGACAAGAGAGUACAUUGAUAAUAUAGAGGCCCCAUUUUUGCUUGUUGCAGAGGGCUUGGAGGAAGGAAUCCAUGAUUUCAGAUAAGUGAAAUAUGGCCACUUUUAGUAGUGGUUUUGCACAUUUUCAUCUUAUAUAUAGAUGUGCAAAGACUCACACAAGGGAGAAUUGUUGAUGUUCAUGGACGAGUCACGAUGAUGUUAUCUAUUGGAUGUAAGGAUGGAGAAGCACGUAUAAGAAUGACACUAUUCGGCUCUGGCUAGAUGUUAAGUAUACAUUUGCAUCGAGUAGACUUGCUUUCAGGUUUAAAAUAUGUUGUAUUUGUAUGGAGAGUGACUUCCAUAGAUUUUUAAUAAUUUUAUGUUGAUCGGUGGUGACUUUCUACAUCAUUUUACUUUUACAUUUUUUUUCUUUUUUCUUUUAUUUUUCUGAGACAUUGUUUCUGAUUUUUUCGAAUAAUGACAAUAACACACCAAAAACUUCUUGAA